rnacentral:rRNA from 1 species
AUGCCUUGCAACCUAGAGAUGGAGAGGGUGCUCAAGGAUGACGCCAUACAGGAGAAGGGCGAGCGCGCCAGGAUGGCAUCUUUCGUUGGUGCCAUGGCGAUCGCCGACUUGGUCAAGACCACACUGGGCCCAAAAGGAAUGGACAAGAUCCUUCAGUCGACUGGCCGAGGGCGGAGUGUCACUGUUACAAAUGAUGGGGCUACCAUUUUGAAGUCCCUUCACAUCGACAACCCUGCUGCCAAGGUCCUUGUUGACAUCUCUAAAGUUCAAGACGAUGAAGUUGGUGAUGGAACAACUUCUGUUGUUGUUUUGGCUGGAGAACUUUUGAGGGAGGCUGAGAAGUUGGUUAACAUGAAGAUUCACCCGAUGACUAUUAUUGCAGGUUACAGAAUGGCUGCUGAGUGCGCCAGAAAUGCUUUGUUGCAGAAGACCAUGGACAACAAAGAUAAUACAGACAAGUUCAGAUCAGAUCUCAUGAACAUCGCCAUGACUACGCUUAGUUCGAAAAUUCUCUCCCAGGACAAGGAGUAUUUUGCUGAACUUGCAGUUGAUGCUGUCCUCAGGCUUAAGGGUAGCACCAACUUGGAAUCAAUCCAAAUUCUGAAGAAACCUGGAGGAUCUCUUAAGGAUUCGUUUUUGGACGAAGGGUUCAUCCUUGAUAAGAAGAUUGGCCUUGGUCAACCAAAGCGAAUUGAGAAUGCUAAUAUUUUGGUUGCGAACACUGCUAUGGAUACAGAUAAAGUUAAGAUUUAUGGGGCACGUGUCCGGGUGGAUUCGAUGUCUAAGGUUGCAGAUAUUGAAGCUGCUGAAAAGCAGAAAAUGAGAGAGAAAGUUGAGAAAAUCAUUGGUCACGGGAUCAACUGCUUUGUCAACAGGCAGCUAAUCUACAACUUCCCCGAAGAACUUUUUGCUGAUGCUGGCAUCCUCGCAGUUGAGCAUGCUGACUUUGAGGGCAUCGAGCGGUUAGCUCUUGUCACGGGUGGUGAUAUUGCAUCAACUUUUGACAACCCAGAGUCUGUUAAGCUUGGGCACUGCAAGCUCAUUGAAGAGAUUAUGAUUGGGGAGGACAGGCUGAUUCAUUUCUCCGGGGUUGCGAUGGGGCAAGCUUGCACCAUUGUCCUGAGAGGAGCAAGUGAGCAUGUGCUUGAUGAGGCUGAGAGGUCCUUGCAUGACGCCCUAUGUGUGCUUUCUCAGACAGUAAAUGACACACGUGUCAUAUUUGGCGGUGGAUGGCCUGAGAUGGUGAUGUCCAAAGAGGUGGAUGAACUUGCAAGGAGGACCCCUGGGAAGAAAUCUCAUGCGAUUGAUGCUUUUUCGCGUGCCCUGCAAGCCAUCCCAACAAUCAUAGCUGACAAUGCUGGCCUGGAUAGUGCCGAGCUGAUCUCCCAGCUCCGAGCCGAGCACCACAAAGAGAACAGCACUGUUGGAAUCGACGUCAUCAGCGGCGGGCUGGGAGACAUGCAGAAGCGUGGCAUCUGCGAGGCGUUCAAGGUGAAGCAGGCCAUCGUCCUGUCGGCGACCGAGGCUGCGGAGAUGAUCCUGAGGGUCGACGAGAUCAUAACCUGCGCCCCACGCAGGAGGGAGGACAGGAUGUGA